UGUUAUUUACUAGACUGUGCAUGUGGACUUGUACAGUACUUGUACUGCUGUUUCUAGUUCUGAUCUGAACAUGGCUGGGCCACGCCCAGCUAGCACUUCCGGCAGCACUAAAGUUCUGUGGCUUCUGAUUGCCAAGCCACAUGGAUUGGCGAAGAAAGUAUGAGCGUUCGUCCUCAAUCAACUAUCAAGCUCAAUCAACUAUCAAGAAGGAACUAUCAAGAAGGGACACAAAGUGUUCCUUGGUGCUUUUGCACACUUCAAGUGGGGAGGAAAGUAUUAUGAAGCAGAGGUGCUGGCGUUGUCAGAGAAUGAGCAGAACUUGAUGAACAUACUUGAUUAAUUGACAGAUGGUGAGGUCACUCGUGAUCUUGAAGGGUGGUGGUGAAGAUGUUGUAGCUGACUCGACUACACCUGAAAAAUUACCAACUAAACCUAUUGACAAAUUGCCUACUAAACCUGCUCCUACUAAACCUGCUGACAAAGUGCCAAUUAAAAAAAGUCUAAAAGCCAAAAAAGUUUCUUCAGCUAAGGCUCGUGCAAAGGAUCUAUUUAAACACCCCCGUUACAGUGAGACAAUUCUACCAUUGAUGCUCAGGCAGUGGUAUCUCCUCAGACGGAUGUGGUUAAAAGAAGUGACGAGCAACUACUUGAGGAUUUGGAUCAAGGUAAUCAGCUGAACGAUUCGGGGAUGUUUGAUGCGAGUUUCAAUGAUCUUAAAGCCUUUGAACCAUUAGCACCACCACCGAACCUGGCCAGUGAUCAUACUAUGAAGCAACGACCAAAUGUCAGACGUAUUGAGACAAUUGAAGGUUACGGCGUAUAUUUGACACAACGUCAACUUGAUGAGGCUCUGCACCAAAGCUGCAGCUCGCCGACUCGCCUUGUAAACUUAAUGUCGUGCUUUUUUCCACCGACACUGAUGGCGAAAUCCUCUUGCUUUGGAACGCGGAGAUUCCCGAAACUAAACGAAGAUAUUGUUGGAGCAUGCUUCAGGUUUGUGCAGGUGCAGAAGAGGUAUCCAGAAGUUGGAAGAUCAACUCUCGUCAAUGCUGUGAACGACAAAUGUGCCAAUCAUAGAAGGGCUGGCACAAAGUGGCUAUACACGUAAAAUGAACAAUCCAUUUGUCUCCCCUACUUAUGUCAUUUACUUACUUAUUUUGUCUCACUCUGACUCAUUAUUGAUCAUGAACGAUUAUUG